rnacentral:rRNA from 1 species
UACGAAGGGGGCUAGCGUUGCUCGGAAUCACUGGGCGUAAAGCGCACGUAGGCGGAUUGUUAAGUUGGGGGUGAAAUCCUGGAGCUCAACUCCAGAACUGCCUUCGAUACUGGCGAUCUUGAGUCCGGGAGAGGUGAGUGGAACUCCGAGUGUAGAGGUGAAAUUCGUAGAUAUUCGGAAGAACACCAGUGGCGAAGGCGGCUCACUGGCCCGGUACUGACGCUGAGGUGCGAAAGCGUGGGGAGCAAAUAGG